GAUGAACGCUGGCGGCGUGCCUAAUACAUGCAAGUCGAGCGAACAGACGAGGAGCUUGCUCCUCUGACGUUAGCGGCGGACGGGUGAGUAACACGUGGAUAACCUACCUAUAAGACUGGGAUAACUUCGGGAAACCGGAGCUAAUACCGGAUAAUAUAUUGAACCGCAUGGUUCAAUAGUGAAAGACGGUUUUGCUGUCACUUAUAGAUGGAUCCGCGCCGCAUUAGCUAGUUGGUAAGGUAACGGCUUACCAAGGCGACGAUGCGUAGCCGACCUGAGAGGGUGAUCGGCCACACUGGAACUGAGACACGGUCCAGACUCCUACGGGAGGCAGCAGUAGGGAAUCUUCCGCAAUGGGCGAAAGCCUGACGGAGCAACGCCGCGUGAGUGAUGAAGGUCUGCGGAUCGUAAAACUCUGUUAUUAGGGAAGAACAAAUGUGUAAGUAACUAUGCACGUCUUGACGGUACCUAAGCAGAAAGCCACGGCUAACUACGU
rnacentral:rRNA from 1 species